rnacentral:sRNA from 1 species
GCCAGGCAUGGUGGUGCAUGCCUAUAAUCCCAGAACUCAGGAGGCUGAGGCAGGAGGAUUGUGAGUUCAAAGCCAGCCUCAGCAAAAGCGAGGUGCUAAGCAAGUUGGUGAGACCCUGACUCUA